AGAGCGAACGCUGGCGGCAGGCCUAAUACAUGCAAGUCGAACGGAUCCUUCGGGAUUAGUGGCGGACGGGUGAGUAACACGUGGGAACGUGCCCUUUGGUUCGGAACAACUCAGGGAAACUUGAGCUAAUACCGGAUGUGCCCUUCGGGGGAAAGAUUUAUCGCCAUUGGAGCGGCCCGCGUCUGAUUAGCUAGUUGGUGGGGUAAAGGCCUACCAAGGCUACGAUCAGUAGCUGGUCUGAGAGGAUGAUCAGCCACACUGGGACUGAGACACGGCCCAGACUCCUACGGGAGGCAGCAGUAGGGAAUCUUGCGCAAUGGGCGAAAGCCUGACGCAGCCAUGCCGCGUGAAUGAUGAAGGUCUUAGGAUUGUAAAAUUCUUUCAGUGGGGACGAUAAUGACGGUACCACAGAAGAACGCCCGGCUAACUUCGCGCCAGCAGCCGAC
rnacentral:rRNA from 1 species